GUGAACGCUGGCGGUAGUCCUAACACAUGCAAGUCGAACGGCAGCACAGUAAGAGCUUGCUCUUACGGGUGGCGAGUGGCGGACGGGUGAGGAAUACAUCGGAAUCUACUUUUUCGUGGGGGAUAACGUAGGGAAACUUACGCUAAUACCGCAUACGACCUACGGGUGAAAGCCGGGGAUCUUCGGACCUUGCGCGAUUGAAUGAGCCGAUGUCGGAUUAGCUAGUUGGCGGGGUAAAGGCCCACCAAGGCGACGAUCCGUAGCUGGUCUGAGAGGAUGAUCAGCCACACUGGAACUGAGACACGGUCCAGACUCCUACGGGAGGCAGCAGUGGGGAAUAUUGGACAAAGGGCGCAAGCCUGAUCCAGCCAUACCGCGUGGGUGAAGAAGGCCUUCGGGUUGUAAAGCCCUUUUGUUGGGAAAGAAAAGCAGCAGGUUAAUACCCCGCUGUUCUGACGGUACCCAAAGAAUAAGCACCGGCUAACUUCGUG
rnacentral:rRNA from 1 species